AAAGCCAAGAUGGACGCGUGCAUUUGAACGUCUCUCCUGAGUGGCUCUCCUGCACGCCUGCCUGUCGUUAGCAGUCGUGUUCGCAGCUGCUACCCAUUCUUCCUCCGGAUUAGGGGAGGGAGAGGGGAUGAGAAGCUGCGGCGGCUAAGGAGUCAUCGUGACUGACCCCGCCGCUACCCUUGGGCCCCCUCGGCCCCCGCGCCUCCGGGGAGUAGCCGGGGCUCGCCGCGCCUGACGCGUCCCGAGUUACACAGGUGCGGGCUCAGGCCCGGUGGUUCAUCGCGUGUCCCGUGGCCCUCUCACCCGCCCCAAGGCCUACCCGUGCCCGCUGACCCGGAGGACUGGGAGCCCAGGGGCGGGCUCUGAGCGCGCGCCACAGCCAAGGGGGCCCCGGCUUGAGGGCUAGGCUUUCCGCGGUGCACCUCCCGGCUGACUUCCCGAGCCAAACGCGCUGCCCCAUGUGGGCCUCCGCUUCUGAAUGGGCCCUUUGCCCCUGUGACAGGAUUUUUCUGAGGCCCAGGCUCUUGAUCUGUUGGUUUCACCUAACCCUAAAGAGACCGAGGACAUUCUGCCUUUUUGCGGAGCCUCUACUCAAGAAAUAAUGUUGAUAUUUGGAACCCAUGUCGAACUUCUAUGAAGAAAGGGCAACAAUGAUUGCAGCCAGGGAUUUGCAGGAAUUUGUUCCUUUUGGUCGAGACCACUGCAAGCACCAUCCUAAUGCUUUGAACCUUCAGCUUCGCCAGCUGCAGCCAGCCUCUGAGUUAUGGUCUUCUGAUGGCGCUGCUGGCUUGGUGGGAUCCCUUCAAGAGGUUACAAUCCACGAGAAACAGAAGGAAAGCUGGCAGUUAAGGAAAGGCGUAAGUGAAAUUGGAGAAGAAGUGGAUUACGACGAGGAGCUCUAUGUGGCUGGAAAUAUGGUUAUCUGGAGCAAAGGAAGUAAAAGCCAGGCAUUGGCUGUUUAUAAAGCGUUUACAGUUGACAGUCCUGUUCAGCAGGCAUUGUGGUGUGACUUCAUUAUAUCACAGGAUAAGUCUGAAAAGGCCUACAGUAGUGAUGAAGUAGAAAAAUGCAUAUGUAUAUUGCAAAGCUCAUGUAUUAACAUGCAUAGCCUAGAAGGAAAGGAUUACAUAGCUUCUUUGCCUUUUCAGGUAGCAAAUGUUUGGCCCACCAAAUAUGGAUUGCUGUUUGAACGAAGUACUUCUUCACAUGAAGUUCCUCCAGGCCCUCCCAGAGAACCUUUACCCACUAUGUUCAGCAUGCUGCAUCCGCUAGAUGAAAUAACACCACUUGUGUGUAAAUCUGGAAGUCUUUUCGGUUCAUCCCGGGUGCAAUAUGUUGUAGAUCAUGCAAUGAAAAUUGUUUUUCUCAACACUGAUCCCUCCAUUGUAAUGACCUAUGACACUGUUCAAGGUUUGCAUUCUUUGUGGGCUCUUCGGAGAGUCAAAACAGAGGAAGAGAAUGUUGUUUUAAAGUUCUCUGAACAGGGGGGAACGCCACAGAACGUAGCCACCAGCAGCUCCCUGACAGCACACCUCAGAAGCCUGUCCAAGGGAGAGUCCCCCAUGGCUUCACCUUUCCAGAACUACUCCUCCAUCCACAGCCAGAGCCGCUCAGCCUCCUCACCCAGCCUACACUCCCGUUCACCUUCUAUUUCCAACAUGGCAGCUCUCAGUCGUGCUCAUUCUCCUGCCUUAGGAGUGCACUCUUUUUCAGGGGUGCAGAGGUUCAACCUUUCAAGCCAUAAUCAAUCUCCAAAGAGACACAGUAUUUCUCAUUCUCCAACUAGUAAUACUAAUGGCUCCUUUCUCGCACCAGAAACGGAGCCGAUUGUUCCUGAGCUUUGUAUUGACCAUUUGUGGACAGAAACGAUUGCUAAUAUAAGGGAGAAAAAUUCACAGGCCUCCAAAGUCUUUAUUACGUCUGACUUAUGUGGGCAAAAGUUCUUGUGCUUCUUAGUAGAGUCCCAGCUGCAGUUACGAUGUGUAAAGUUUCAAGAGAGUAAUGAUAAAACCCAGCUCAUCUUUGGCUCCAUCACCAACAUACAGGCAAAGGAUGCAGCGCCAGUGGAGAAGAUAGACACUAUGCUGGUCCUGGAAGGCAGUGGAAACCUGGUGCUGUACACAGGAGUGGUUCGGGUGGGAAAGGUGUUUAUUCCUGGGCUGCCAGCUCCUUCCCUGACGAUGUCCAGCACGAUGCCUCGGCCCAGCACUCCGCUGGACAGCAUCAGCACCCCUAACCCUCUGAGGAAGCUGCUUGGAUCCCUGGAUGAGGCUGUUCUGUUGUCCCCAGUUCCAGAACUGAGGGAUUCUUCCAAGCUUCAUGAGUCUCUCUGUAAUGAGGAUUGUACUUUCCAGCAGCUUGGAACGUACAUUCAUUCCAUCAGAGACCCUGUCCACAACAGAGUAACUCUAGAACUGAGUAAUGGCUCCAUGGUUAGGAUCACUAUUCCUGAAAUUGCCACCUCUGAAUUGGUGCAAACGUGUUUGCAAGCAAUUAAGUUUAUCCUGCCAAAAGAAAUAGCUGUUCAGAUGCUUGUCAAGUGGUACAGUGUCCACAGCGCUCCGGGAGGACCCAGUUACCACUCAGAAUGGAAUUUAUUUGUGAUUUGUCUCAUGAACUUGAUGGGUUAUAACACAGACCGCUUAGCCUGGACAAGAAAUUUUGACUUUGAAGGAUCACUUUCCCCAGUCAUUGCACCCAAAAAAGCAAGGCCUUCAGAGACGGGAUCUGAUGAUGACUGGGAGUAUUUGUUAAAUUCAGACUACCACCAGGACGUCGAGUCGCAUCUUUUGAAUCGAUCUUUGUGUUUGAGUCCUUUGGGAGUCCCCCAGGUGAAGGAUGAGGACUUCUCGCAGAAUCUCACUGUGGAUUCUUCUACACUUCUCUUCGCUCACAUACCUGCAAUUUUUUUUGUUCUUCACCUUGUCUAUGAGGAGCUUAAACUGAAUACUCUGAUGGGAGAAGGAAUUCGUUCACUUGUUGAACUUCUCGUUCAGUUGGCAAGGGACUUAAAAUUGGAGCCUUAUGUAGAUCAUUACUAUAGAGAUUAUCCAACACUUGUCAAAACUACUGGGCAAGUGUGCACAGUUGAUCAAGGUCAAACAGGAUUUAUGCAUCAUCCAUCAUUUCUUACUUCUGAGCCACCAAGUAUUUAUCAGUGGGUGAGCUCUUGUUUGAAGGGCGAAGGAAUGCCACCCUAUCCUUACCUCCCUGGAAUUUGUGAAAGAAGCAGACUUGUAGUCUUGAGUAUCGCCCUCUACAUACUUGGUGAUGAAAGCUCUGUUUCUGAUGAAUCCUCACAGUAUCUAUCCAGAAUAACUAUAACCCCCCAGAAGUCACAAGCAGAACAAGAGGAGAACAGGUUUAGUUUCAGGCAUUCCACACCAGUUUCGAGUCUAGCUGAGAGAUUAGUUGUCUGGAUGACUAACGUAGGUUUCACUUUAAGAGACUUGGAAACUCUUCCCUUUGGAAUUGCUCUCCCCAUCAGAGAUGCGAUUUAUCACUGCCGGGAGCAGCCUGCUUCAGACUGGCCAGAAGCUGUCUGUCUCUUGAUUGGACGUCAGGAUCUCUCCAAGCAGGCCUGCGAAGGAAACUUGCCCAAAGGGAAAUCUGUGCUCUCAUCAGAUGUUCCUUCAGGAACAGACACUGAGGAGGAGGAUGAUGGCAUGAAUGACAUGAAUCAGGAGGUGAUGUCAUUAAUAUGGAGUGAAGAUUUAAGGGUGCAGGACGUGCGACGGCUCCUUCAAAGUGCACAUCCUGUGCGUGUCAAUGUGGUGCAGUACCCGGAACUCAGUGACCACGAGUUCAUCGAGGAAAAAGAAAACAGAUUGCUCCAGUUGUGUCAGCGAACUAUGGCUCUUCCUGUAGGACGAGGAAUGUUUACCUUGUUUUCGUAUCAUCCUGUUCCAACGGAACCAUUGCCUAUUCCCAAGUUAAAUUUGACUGGGCGAGCCCCUCCUCGGAACACAACAGUAGACCUGAACAGUGGAAACAUCGACGUGCCUCCCAACAUGACAAGCUGGGCCAGCUUCCACAAUGGCGUGGCUGCCGGCCUGAAGAUAGCCCCUGCCUCCCAGAUCGACUCAGCUUGGAUUGUUUACAAUAAGCCCAAGCACGCUGAGUUAGCCAAUGAGUAUGCUGGCUUUCUCAUGGCCCUGGGUCUGAAUGGGCACCUCACCAAGCUGGCUACUCUCAAUAUCCACGACUACUUGACCAAGGGUCAUGAAAUGACGAGCAUCGGACUGCUGCUUGGUGUUUCUGCGGCUAAACUAGGCACCAUGGAUAUGUCAAUUACACGGCUUCUCAGCAUUCACAUUCCUGCUCUCCUACCCCCGACGUCCACGGAGCUCGACGUGCCUCACAACGUCCAGGUGGCUGCAGUGGUUGGCAUCGGCCUCGUGUAUCAGGGGACAGCUCACAGGCACACUGCAGAAGUCUUGUUGGCCGAAAUAGGCAGGCCCCCUGGUCCUGAGAUGGAAUACUGCACUGACAGAGAGUCUUACUCUUUAGCUGCUGGCUUGGCCUUGGGCAUGGUUUGCUUGGGGCACGGCAGUAAUCUGAUAGGGAUGUCUGAUCUCAACGUGCCUGAGCAGCUUUAUCAGUACAUGGUUGGAGGCCACAGGCGCUUUCAAGCAGGGAUGCACCGGGAGAAACAUAAAUCUCCAAGUUAUCAAAUCAAAGAAGGAGACACCAUAAAUGUGGAUGUAACUUGUCCAGGUGCCACUCUGGCUUUGGCUAUGAUCUACUUGAAAACCAAUAACAGAUCCAUUGCAGAUUGGCUCCGAGCUCCUGACACUAUGUAUUUGCUGGACUUUGUGAAGCCAGAAUUUCUCUUGCUUAGGACACUUGCUCGAUGCCUGAUUUUGUGGGAUGAUAUUUUACCAAAUUCCAAGUGGGUCGAUAGCAACGUUCCUCAAAUUAUAAGAGAAAAUAGUAUCUCUCUCAGUGAAAUUGAAUUGCCUUGCUCAGAGGAUUUGAAUUUGGAAACUUUGUCGCAAGCACAUGUCUACAUAAUUGCAGGAGCUUGUUUGUCUCUGGGUUUUCGAUUUGCUGGCUCAGAAAACUUAUCAGCAUUUAACUGCUUGCAUAAAUUUGCAAAAGAUUUUAUGACUUAUUUGUCUGCGCCUAAUGCUUCUGUGACAGGUCCUUACAACCUGGAGACUUGCCUGAGUGUGGUGCUGCUGUCUCUGGCCAUGGUGAUGGCCGGCUCAGGGAACCUAAAGGUUUUGCAGCUCUGUCGCUUCUUGCACAUGAAGACCGGUGGUGAAAUGAACUACGGUUUCCACCUAGCCCAUCACAUGGCCCUUGGACUUCUGUUUUUGGGAGGAGGAAGGUACUCGUUGAGCACGUCAAACUCUUCCAUUGCCGCCCUGCUCUGUGCCCUGUACCCGCACUUCCCAGCUCACAGCACUGACAACCGGUAUCAUCUCCAGGCUCUCCGGCACCUGUACGUGCUGGCUGCAGAACCAAGACUUCUGGUGCCCGUGGAUGUGGACACCAACACGCCCUGCUAUGCCCUCUUAGAAGUCACCUAUAAGGGCACUCAGUGGUAUGAACAGACCAAAGAAGAGUUGAUGGCUCCUACCCUUCUUCCAGAACUCCACCUUUUAAAACAGAUUAAAGUUAAAGGCCCACGAUACUGGGAACUGCUCAUAGAUUUAAGCAAGGGGACACAGCACUUGAAGUCAAUUCUGUCCAAGGAUGGGGUUUUAUAUGUCAAGCUCAGAGCGGGUCAGCUCUCCUACAAGGAAGAUCCGAUGGGAUGGCAGAGCUUGUUGGCCCAGACCGUUGCCAACAGGAACUCCGAAGCUCGGGCUUUCAAGCCUGAAACGAUUUCAGCGUUCACUUCUGAUCCAGCACUUCUGUCGUUUGCUGAGUAUUUCUGCAAACCAACUGUGAACAUGGGUCAGAAACAGGAAAUUCUGGAUCUCUUUUCUUCAGUGCUGUAUGAAUGUGUGACUCAGGAGACCCCAGAGAUGUUGCCGGCAUACAUAGCGAUGGAUCAGGCUGUGAGAAGACUGGGAAGAAGAGAAAUGUCCGAGACGUCUGAACUCUGGCAGAUAAAGUUGGUGUUAGAGUUUUUCAGCUCCAGAAGCCACCAGGAGCGGCUGCAGAACCACCCGAAACGAGGGCUCUUUAUGAGCUCGGAGUUCCUCCCUGUGGUGAAGUGCACUGUUGACAACGCUCUGGACCAGUGGCUGCAAGCUGGGGGUGACGUGUGUGUGCACGCCUACCUCAACGGGCAGCCCUGUGGGGAAGCGCAGCUGAGCAUGCUGGCCUGUUUCCUCGUCUACCACUCGGUGCCGGCUCCACGGCACCUGCCAUCUAUCGGCCUGGAAGGGAGCACGAGCUUUGCGGAGCUCCUCUUCAAAUUUAAACAGCUGAAGAUGCCCGUGCGCGCUUUGCUGAGAUUGGCGCCUUUGCUUCUUGGAAAUCCACAGCCAAUGGUCAUGUGAUCAUGUCUGGUGGUAAGCCUACCCUGAAACAUGACUUCUGCACAAAAGCGUGACCAAACAACAAAGCUAAAGGGACAUUUAUAAGUUUUAUAAUAUAGCUGGGAGGAAGUGACCUGCACAAACCUUAAUCUAAAUGUUUUAAAUAUCCCAGAGACUCUGUUGCUGUCGGCAUUAACAUUAUAUGGUAUAUAACAGUGAGUUAAAAUUUACUUUUGUAAAUAAAAUUCUUUGGUUUGAUUUCAAAACUCUGGAUGAUUAGUUUGGGGUUUCAGAGAAUAGACCAGUCUGCUGGGAUGGAUAUUGGUUUUUUAAGUCUUCCAGCUAUGGUGAUUCAGGUGAAGUGACUUUAUGCACAAAAAUGCGAAGUUUUUAAAGAAGCCCUGUCAUAAAGUUUUACUUUCUGCAGCAGCAAAAACCCUUGUUGCAUUUUCUAAGGUGUCACCAUUACCUGGUCAGAAGUAAGUUUGUACUUCCUGUAAUGGUGCCAGACAUCCCCAUAGUGUGAUCAAUUGUCUUGAAAAGGAGAUUUAUACUAUAAUGAAGAGUUGCCCAACACGAAGCCUGCUCUAAAUAGAGAAAAUAUGAAAUUUCCACUCCAGAGAGGUCUUCAGAAAUUGUAUUUUUAAAUAAAAGACAGUUCAUUUUCACUCACGAUUUUGAGAACGUACGUGUGUGUCGGGCUCCUGGACUAGACGAUGACGAAGGUAUUCAUGUACAGGUGUGUCCAACCUCAGAUUUCCAGUCCAGGAAGAGGGCGGCUCCGUGCUGCCCUGAUUCUGACGUGCACCUGUGUGUCCUGAAUGGCCGGUGGGGCCGUAAACUGGUAGAAGCUGCAAGGCCCAUCCAGUGAUUUCAUGUUUCCGCAUCCUGAACUGUGGGGUUUAGCUUUAAAAGUAAAAAUUAAGGCAAACAGAGAUGUUUCCAUUGAGAUCCUGACAAAAACCAAUGUGACAUUUGCUUCUGCAAAGGGGGCUCGUGUCUGGAAGGCAGACGUCUUGAGUCAGUGGUUCUCGUCAGACCCACCUGUGCCCCGCCGGGGACUUGCCCUUGCUUGUGACACGUCAGCAGAGUGGCUGAUUGGGAGAAAGAAAUGUGCUUCCCUUCACACUUACAUAAUUUUUCUUCUGCUUAAUAGAGAAAAGUUAAAAUGGUAGAUUAUGGGAGGUCCAUGUGAAUCAGGAUAUGAAGAGCUCAGUAUGUGGGCAACUUGCUAUCUUCACUCUUCCUGGUUUAUAAUUUGUAAGCCCUUCUCUGAUGGAAGAAUGACUUGAGUUAUUUGCACACAUCUGAAUGAGCAUGUGUGAGGGAGAACAGUCAUUAGAAUGUUGUCAACAAGAGCAGAACUGAGGCCGCAGGAGGGGGAGAGCAGGAGAGGCAUGCAGGUGGCCUGCGAACAGCCUUGUCUUUAUACUUGGGGCCUGCUGAGGGGCAAGGAGGGUCUCCUGGACAGUCUGCUCUUGAGCAGACGUGCUAGGUUCAUGGAAGAAGUCAGUGCAGCCCUGUGUGGGCACUCGAGAAAUCUUGAGAGUGUAGUUCUCACCAUCCAGAACAUUUUAGCCUCCCCACAGCCGUGGCAGGGGAAGAGCUGGAGAAGUGCCUCCGGCUCUUAGUGUUUUGGCCCAGGAGUGGCACAGGCCCCGUCCGCUUUCGGCCUGUGGGCGCAGAGUAGUCAAACUGGUCCACCCCCUAAGUGCUCUUCCACAAAGGGGAGAGCCAGACACUGGUCAGUGCUAGUAACGUCUGUCACGGUAUGACUCUUGACUGACUGGGAAUUCCUUCCAGCCAGCUUUUCUACUUACACAGCUGGAAAUGGACAGAAUUAAAGAACUAGUGCCAUCACACACACUCAGCACUCGGAGAGGGUGGCCCUGCUUCCCUGAUGGAUGCUGGCACCUGUGCUCCUCCGCUGGGGGUCUUGCCAAGGAGUGUGGGCGUGAACGUGUGGGCAGUUCUGAGGCAGAGACCCCUGGCCUUAGCAGGAGGACACUACUGGGUUAAGCCCUACAAAACUUCUCCUUGGUGCUGUCUAAUCUUCCCUGAGUGAGGCCUCUUUCUCACUCUUUGUCUAGAAACCAGCUGACUGCACAGCUUAUGGAGAGGGGCAUGUCCCAGCUGAGGGGACCUCCUGACAUCCUAGAGGAGGCAAGCAGGAGGGGAGCUCUCGUCUCUCAGCCCGAUGAUCAGUGUGCAGACCCACUUGGCGGGAGGCCGAUGAGCCUGCUGGGCAGACCAGGCCAGAGUGUGGGGGCCGGGAUUUGGAGUGGAAGCCAGAGAAUGGGAGCUGAGGCCGGAGCUGUCAGAGGAGUGGAUUUGUGCUGAUUCCAAGGGAAGCACAUGCCAAAGCCCAGGCUGAGGGGCGGGAGUGGGCCAGGCUGGUAGGGGAUAUCGGGAGCUGAGUGAAACUGAAGGCCCUGGACCAGUCUGAGACCAAAGCAGGAAGUCUUUGUUGCCUCCUUCAUACAGGGUUGAGGGCCCCUCUUCUGGGUUCCCCAGCCUCAUACUGACCAAAUGUGGAAAAUGCCUCACUGCAUGAAGAUCUCUCCAGUUAAGUAAGCUCUGAGGGAGGGGAUAGGAUUUGGUCACCUCUGUACCCCUAAUGUCUGCAGUUUCCAGCCAGCAGUCGAGGGAAGCAGAGGUGAGGUCAGAGAAGCAGCUACUGCAGAGGGUGUCCCCAGGCUGGAGGCCUCCCUCGGCCCCCAGCCUGUACUGGGCAGGUUCUGCCUGCUCUACAGAGUUCCCAGGUGAUGUCUUUUCCUGCUGCCAAGGCCAGGUCCCCUGUACUCAGAAAUACAUUGGUUGCUUCUCAUUACAGUCACAAGCUUCAGAAGUCUUUUUUGGUUAAAUUUUUUAAAAAAUCCCUGGAACAUCCUUGAUUUUUGCCCGUGGAUGACUUGCCUGUUGGUCACCCUCUUGCUCUGCUCCAUCUCAUGUCCUUGAGUGAAGGUGAGGCUGGGAUGGGGAGUGGGGGCUGCUCCAAGGGCAGGACUUUCAGACUUCUGACGAGCAUGACCCAGAUCAGGCAGCUGCACCGGAAGCUCCCUCAGGCAGCAUCUGGUCCUGCCCCUUGUUCUACAGCCCAAACCCUGCGGCUCAGGGAGGGAGGUAGCUGGCCCCGGGCCACCCCGCUCCCCAUCGCAACCCUAACAAGCUUGGGGUCCCAGACCACACUGUUUCUACCCAAGAACCUGGUCCCUUCCUGCCUUUCUUCUUGGUCCAGUAGAUGCUCAGGAAGAGGCAGAUUUAACGUAAGUUACGAGGACGUUGCACCAGGCAGAGUUUAUGAACUCCUUUAAAAAGCAAAUUGAUUCUUCCUUUCUCUGUGCAUCUUUAGAAAAACGAAGACUUCUGUGUAAUUUCUUGGAAUUAGGUUAAUUGAAUAGUCUGUGUGUUGCUUUCUUGGUUUUAUAACAACAAUCUCAAUUAAAAUUUUAGCUAAAAGUAUUUCUUUCAUGGUACAUUAGAAUAUGAAACAGGAAAUUUAGGAAAAGAAUUAACUUUAUACUAAGUUUAGUGAAAAUCUGACAUCCUUAAUUUCCACUGCUUUUACUCCAGUACUCAGGUGUGAAGUCUGUUGCCUCAUGUCUGUGGUUAACGGUGCCAUCCUGAGUCUUGUGCAGGCGCAGUGCCUUGUGAAGCUGUAGACCAUGUGCUCUGAGCGCCUAGACAUGCUGGAUCCUGAUCUGGGGAGUCACGUGGGGAGGGGGGACUCAUCACAGGGACAGUGGCUGGAAGCUGGUUAGUGCCACUUGUGUUUCGUUCACUUGUGUUUAUUUCUGUGCGUAUCUUCCACUUACUAAGAAUAUUUUCAGUUUGCUUACUGUACCAUUUCAGAGAUUAAGAAAAUAUUUUGGGUGAAUGUGUGUAACUCUGGAGUUGAAGAAAGCAUCAUCCACAAAUCCACUGUAACCAGCAUCCCUGGCUGCGGUUUCCUGCCCCAUAAGAUCUAAAUGGGCUGCGCUCCAGCCCUCACGUGUUAAAAUCUCUGCAAAUCCCAGAGGAGGGCGUCUGUCAUCUCCCUGCAGACUCCCUGUGCCGCACAGGUACACCUGUGGUCAUCCCCUGUGUCCUUUGUGGGGGCUGGGUGUCACCUUAGCAUUUUCACCUCCUCUUCUGUCUCCUCGGCUUCCACCUGUGCUUCCCACGUGGGGCCAGGUGAUAGUGCCAGGGCGGUGCCAGCGAGAGGCGCCCCUGCACAGCCCGGAGGUGGCAGGGGCGGCGGAACCGUUACAGGCAGACGCAGGGCACGGAGUGCACCCUGGCUGCAGGGCCUUCAUACCAGCUCUGGCUGGUGCACCCCAUUCUGCAGGUUUGCUGGGGCUUCUCCAUCCUCUGCUCCAAAACCCCUUCCACCUGCUUCCUUUUAUCAGCAUCCUUUCUGCUUGGGUUCCCGAGCAAACCCUCUGAUGCCUUGGUGGGGUGUAAUGACCCAGAUGUGAACAGAGUCCAUCCCCGAGUCCCCACUCCUCAGCCUCCCCUGGACUUUGCCUGUGGAGUUUCCAGCGCUCGGUUAUCCUCUCUGAGCUCUCACUGCUAUUUGCCUGCCUUUUCCAUGAUCAAACCCUCAGUUGUUCUCUGAAACCCUCAGAUUUCUUUGUAAUCUUGUAACCCCUGCACUAACUUCCCCGAUGGCACCAACCUCAGAGCUGCGGUGGCAGUGACUCCCUGAGUGGCCUUAGGUUCCCCCAAUGUGCUGAGGGGACUCACGGACUCAAGGAAGAAUGGGCAGUCUUCUAGCUGAGAAACUGGAACGCUGUCGGGUUGGCCCUGUUUGUGUCAGAAUUCCCUGGACUGAGUCACUGGUGUGUGGAUGGGGACAGUGUGUCCCCUGGGCCCUGUUGGCUUUGGGUCUGCCCCUCAGCGGCUGCCCUGGGGAGAGGACCAGCCCUUAGCACAACUGCUUCCACCUCGACCUUCUGCCACACUGGGUGUCACGGACUGCAAGUCCUGUGAUUGCAGCUGGGAGGGUCAGGGACUCAAAGGAAAUGCUAAACCCUCAUGGGAUAAAGCUGAAAAGAGUUUUUUUUUUUACAAAAUCAACUGUUCUGUGAGGUUCCUGGCAACCUGGUCAGAAAUUUCGUGGAGAAAUUAGACAUUUCCAUGGGAAAAAGGAGGUGAAGAGCUAGACUGUGUCUGGCAGUUGCUGUUUUUACCCAAUAAUACUGUAGAGCAGCUGCCCAGUAAUAAACCUUCCUGUCUAAAAUAGCUGUGCAAAAAGAUCGCUGUAAACCCUGAGCAUUACUGAGCAAAUCAAGCUGCAGUGGACCAGCCCAGGCCCCGGGAUGGCCUUCAACUCUGGGCACCUGCCCUCAGGCCCCCCCACCCUCACCCCAAGUGACCUUCCCAGUCUGUCUGCAGGAUUUUGAGCCUUAAUUUUCCUAAUUUUCCUUCCUUGGUGUAAAAAUCACAAUCCGUACGCUGAGUUGAGGGUGUGUCUAUUGUUAGCACCUCUGAGUGAGUUAAGGAUAAUCCUACACACCGCACAGCUGGGUUUUGCUUUGUGAUUCAGUCUGAAGAUCUUUUUCUUUCAGCAAUGAGUUCAGAUUUAUUAAUACAAAUAAUAUGACCUGAGUUGUCUCUUAAUUUUUAUAUUCUUACAUUAUAUUUAUACUGUACUUCUUGUAUUUACUGGGUAUCUUUAUUUGGUCUAUUUGCUCUGCUCUCAAAAAUGUGUGGUCGUCGUGACCUCUGGCAUUUAGGAUGGCUUGUGUUCUUGUGACUGCAUUCGACGUAUGACUUCUUCACAUGUUACUGUCUUCAUGGGACUCCUCGAGUCCUCCUUUUCCUUACCUCGGCUUCCACUGUCCUGUUUCCAGCUUUGAUGGCACAUGGUGCCCCCCUGGCACCAUUCAUGAGCUCCCCCUUCUCUCUCCCUCCUCUCAGUUUGGAAGUUGGGUUAUGUCUGUAAUGCCAGAGUGAACAAUGGCGUAUGAUCUCCCACCUUCUAUUCGACUGUGUCAGCCUUGGUCGGCCCACCAGGGUGCUCCAUGCCUUCCGUUAGUCCUUUGGCUGAAAUUGUCCAUCUCUUCUCUGGGUGAGGCUGCUGUCUAGCAGACUGCCAGGAAGGCCUCCGAGUACAGCUGUCCCUGAAAUGCUCCUUGUCCUCCUGUCUUUUUACCACCUUCUGGUCACCUUUGGAUUCUUCUCAGGUUCCUCUCCUUGGUGGUCCAGGCCUCUUCCUGGACUCUCUCCGUGCCUUCUCCCUCUCCCCAUCCUCAGUCUCUGUAGAGGCUCCUGCUCUGGUCUCGUGGCUCCCUGGGCUGCCUCCUCCAUGUUACUGCUAGACCCUUCCAGGGAAUUCAGGAGUCAGGGCCUUUGUGGGCUGACACCCCUGGAAGGCUGGGGGCCGGUUUCAGCACUCCAGGUUCAGGCUGCUGUGGUCCAGGCUCUCCAGGCACCUCUGUCCUGCAGGUCUGAGGAGAGCUGGAGGCUCAGUGCUGUCUGUCUUCAGCUGCCUGGAGCCUGGGAAGGAGGCAGCCUCUCAGCGGGGGAGGGGGAGGCAGAAGGGGAGGAGGAGGAGUGGGCGGGAGCUACGAGAAAAGAGAGGAAGUGCCAUCAGAGUGACAGGCAGCACCACAAGGUGCACAGAGGACAGGGGCUCCGACCUCAGGGAAAUCAGCUGUCACCCCCAUUGCUCUCUCGAGUGACCAGACCCAAGAGGGGCCCCAGCAACUGACAUUUUUCUUUUCUUUUAUUGUGAUAAAAAUACUAUUUUCUUUGGAAUUUUAAGGCUCUUGAUAUACAAAGUGGGAGUAUGUAGUCCUGACAUAUUCUUGGUCCUCAAAUAAAAAACUGGGUGAAUGAAACUUAUAUCAAAGUUGGUUUAUCUCAAAACACACUUGACCUGCUUUCCUCUCUUCUUUCUCCUGGGGUCAGAACGAGCCCCGUCACCCCCUGCAGCGAGGGGCUCAGCUCACAGGAUUGCUCUAGUGCAACCGUCUGCCCAAGCAGGGUGUUCCUGAUCCAUUUCAGUGAAGGACUCCCUCCGCUUCAAGUAAAUCCGCACACAAACACUAAAUUUGAGCCAAAGAAAACAAAUGCUGGAGCGUGAUGCUAGUCAGGUGCUAGGUUUCUAUAAAUGUCUUGUCUGCCAUGUGCUUCCACACAGUUCUGCAUGUGUGCUUGUUUCCUUUACUUUCCAGCAAUUUUAUUUGUUCAGAGACUCGAGAGCUCUAGGAGCUCCGUCCGUCCAUGGUGACCCUAGACCCUGACACAUCCUUCAGGGACGCAGCUCAGGGGAGCUUGCAUCAAGCGGGAGCAAAACACACAAGACUUCUGAUGACGUGUUGGAAUUACUCUUUCUCUUUUUUCCCCAAGAGCCACCAUGGUAACAGCUCCUUUUCCAGAAAGGAUGACCUCAGUGUUUUUCAUGUAUUUAUAUUUAAAAAUUUCAACUCAGAUCAAAACCCUGCAGAGAUUUUCAUUACUUAGAUCAGCAUGUCCAAGAGUUUUCCUAAAAAAAAAAAAAGAAAAAGAAGUUGAUAUGCAAAUUGGGACCUCAGACAUGGUUCCAUAAUCAAAUCCAUUUGAAGAAUUUUGAAAUCAACACAGUAAUUACUUUCUGUGCCAGGGGAGGUCUCAGAGCCCUUACUCUGCUAGCAAUACAUUAAGGGAUGCAGUGGCGCUUCCUCCAGUCCUGGAGGUGACUGCACUCACCUGGACCCCCUGCAGCCCCCACUCCAUUCCUUGGGGACCUAGGGGGUGCAUUGGCGCACCCGACUCCAGACCCAGUGAUUUGGGUUCUGGGCCUGGAUCUGAAAGGGAAGCACCGCAGGGUGAGCACUUGGAGGAAGGGCCCAGCCCCACGACUGCUGGGGUGCCCCUGCCUCAUCCCCGACAGGCCUCACCCCCGACAGACCUCCUCACACAGCUCCAGGGUGACCCAGGCUCGGUGCCCCAUCGCGUGGAAGAAUUCCACCUUCAGCUUGAGGAACUCCUUGUAGAGGUCUGGCCAGUGCUCCCUGCCGAGCAGGAACUGGAAGAUGCUCCGCUUGGACGUGGGGUUGUCCUCCUCCAUGUCGGAGGCGAUGUAGCUGCCACCGAGACAAGAGGGCAGGCUGGUCCCAGCCCCAGUGAGGGCUCCCAGCCUCAGGGUACCGAGGUCACCCCGGAGGAACCAGGGCUUGAGGCGGUAUAUCCAGGAGAGGGGGCCCAGGGAAUCCCCAUCACCUGGGGGACCCGGGUCCAGAGGAGGCAAGACCAUCCUCAGCACCAAGCCCGCCAGGCCCCAAGCAUGCUGUGCCGGGCCCAGGCCAGUGUUCUGGCUGUCAUCGUUUCCUUGGGGUUUUCCCGCUUAGGUCACUUGGUCUCUGGGCAGCAAGUGGUUUUCCCUGGCCCUGUUCAUUAUCCCGUGAACCAACUCAUUGCCUGCCCUGCCCUGACCACGUGACCCCUGAAGGCCUUGUCUGCUCUGGGCCAAGGGGAACCACCACUGGGGACCCUUCCAGGCACAUUGGCCAAGCUGUCUGUCGGGACAGGGAAGCUGGACUGGGGGACUGGGGCAGAAGUGAAAGCAGGUCCCCGAGGAGGUGCUCACAGGGCCAGGAAGAAGUGGAUCCUGUUGUAGAGGUGACCCGGCAGCCCGACGCGGCCAAAGUACUCCACCACCAUGGAGAGCAGGUACUGUGUGGAGACAGGGUCCAAUGGCGGGGCGGCCAGGGCUCGACGGAAGGGAGGGUGUGAGGGGGCCAGCUGUCCCGCCCCCACCCAGGACGGCCUUGCUGAGGGUCUCAUGGCCCUUUGAUGUGAUGGAGGAGAUGCCCAGGGCCAGGGCAGGGCACCAGCAGUGCAUCCUUCCUUCCUGUCUGGCACCAAGGGCAGGUCUCUCCAGGGCUUCUCUAGCCCAGGAAGACACCUUGUUCUCUGGACCUACCCCCAUGGGAUGGUGACACUACAGACUUCUCAGUCUCCAUUUUAGUGCUGCAGGUACCUUGUCAGACACUUUCAGGAAAAUGUCAGCUUCCAAGAAGCUCUGGAUAACAGGAUCCUCUGCAAAGGAACGGAGAAUUGAUGAGGGCCUUGGAGCAGAGAGCCUGGGGUGCGGGGCAUUUCACAGGGAAGAGGAAAGCUGGAGCCUUCUCCCAGUUCCUCUGUCUCAUGAAGCAGAGGCAGCUCCCUUUGCUCCAGGUGGGCCGGGAGCCCUAACAUCGGUGACAGCUGUGACAGCUGCUGCUCUUUGCGUUGGCACAGAUACAGACUUCAGUUCAGAGACAGCUUCCAAGGAGGUGGAAUUGGAGGUCAGGGGAGUGCUCUUCCGGGCAGCUGCAGGAACAAGACUCCACGUGAGCACGGACCUGGCCCCCAGGGAAGUCCCGAGUGCUUCCCUUUCAGCUCACCCUGAAGCCUGGACCCUGCCCCCUGAGGACAGGAUGACAAGUAUUCCUCAGCAGGAACUGACGCUCCGUGCAGGGCCACGGAAGCUGAGGGGUGCCUGAGGACACAUACCUGCCUUGACAUCCACCAGUUUCUUCCUCUUGUGGCCUCUUGUCCUCCUGGUUCUCUGCUUGGGGACAGCCUCUGGAGGCUCAGAACUGGAGGCCGGAGGGCUCCUAUUCCGAGGAGCUGCAGGGAGAGAGGACGGACCCUGUGUGAUCAUGGGAGGAACCCACCUGGGAAGUACUGGGUUCUUCCCUUCUCGGUCACCUUGAGGACUUUGCACGUGACAUCUGAAGGGAUAAGAGAAGAAUGACCAUCACCCCCUUUGCACUUGUCUAUAAAGGAGGGUAGGAAUUGAAUUAAUAUUUACCUCUCUUUGCCAGGCGCAAGCUGCUCUCCUGUGCCUCUUUCCAUGGAUUAAUCUGCCUGGGGGACGCCUCUGGAGACAGAUGUGAAAUUCUCUGGUCAUAGAUGUCUUUAAUAACUACAGGUGAACAAGAUAGUGACCUCCGGUCUCACCCUGGACACCUUUUCCCCUGCCCUGCAGGCACACACUCAGGGGAGUCAAGGGAGGAAGUGAUGCUGGAGCCAUGAUAACCUGUCACCUUCAUUCAUUCAGAAACAUGAAGGGUGAAUGGCCACACACACCUGCUUUCCCUGCCAUGCACUCCCUCUUCUGGCUCUGUUCCUGUUGGCUUGGAGCCGUCUCUGAGCAGCUGGUGUGGAGCUCGGAGGAAUCCUGUCUUCUCUGGGUACAAAAAAAGGGGAAGGAAACCAACUUGAUUCUCACCAGGCCAUUUCUUUUUGCUUCAUCUGCUUCUUGUGAAACCCAGUAAGAAUUAAAAUGGCAAUAAUAGUAGCUAACAGUUACUGACUGUUUAUUGAGCUUCUGAUAUUGAUAUUGAUCGAUCAGUGCAUGGAGAGUUACCUCGUUCAGUCUUUAUAAUGAUCUGUGAGGUGAGGCGUAUAACUUCCCUCGUUUGCAGUUAAGGAAGCAAUGCUGUGAUCUGUCUAAGGUUUGACCCCUGACUGUGGCUAGAGUUCUUUGGACUCAGGAUUAGAGCUCGUGUCUGAGCAGUGCCCAAGGGAAGAAUGGCUGGUGGCAGCGACACCACUAGUGUCCAGCGGGGUGACCUUCAUGCUUAUGGCAUCAGCUCUGCCUGAGGAUCCCUGUGAACCACCAGAAAGUCCUGGGCAACCAAGCCUGGCAGAAAGACGACCAGAGUGGCCCAUGUCUGUCUGAAACAGUCCUUGAAGCUGAUGGAGGCAGCGCCCCCCUCGAGAAGCCCAGUGUCGCUCGCCCCGUCUAAGGGCAGUGUUCCUCCCUCUUCUUGCUCUGCCCACAGUCCUCGUGGCUCCUGAGGCUCACGGGCGAGUUCUCCGGGAGUGGCUUUGCUCUCUCCUCCUUCCGCAGUAUUCGUUUUGUUCUCCUUCCACCCACAUCCCCUCCUGUUCUCUCUUCCCUUCAAACUUGAGACUGGUUUGUCUUCCUUCUGUGUCCCCAGUCAUUCAUCUGGAGAUUCACAGGUAACCCCUUCCACAUCCCUUGCGACUCCUUUGGGAAAACAUAGCUCAGGAUCCAAGACUCAGUCUGGUACAGAAAAGAGUGGCACCCACCCUGAGUGAACACCUUGAGGCAGUGUCAAGACCUCGGCCCUCACACUUACUCAAGACGCAGCCUCGCAACAGCAGGAAAUCGCCGACCGUGGCCAAGUGUUUGGGACCCAGUGGCGCCUGAGAUUCCGGAGCCUUUGCCAUGAGGCACUGAUGACGUCACACCAUUCCACCAGGAACUGCUCUUUGGUUUAUAAAGGCACUCAAGGAAAAGGCCAUGGGCCUCAAGGGGGAGAAAUGAGUGUCCAGCCCGAACACGCAGGCCACCUCCUCUUAUCCCAACAUUACCUCCACCUUGAACCUCAUCUUGUGUUUAAUCAAGUUGAUUAACGAUUCCAAAUGUAAGUGAUAUGUCCACCUAUCCAAAAAUGGAGAAAAUACAAAAUUAAAACUUGAUUAAUUUGUCAUUCAUAAUGAAGAGUUAUUAAUAUAA